rnacentral:sRNA from 1 species
GUUGGUUAUGGUGACAUGUACCCCGUGACCGCUUUGGGCUAUGUGAUUGGAUCGUUAACGGCUAUGUGCGGGUUGUUAAUGAUUGGAUUUUCAGUACCAAUUUUAGUUAAUAAU